AUUGAACGCUGGCGGCAGGCCUAACACAUGCAAGUCGAACGGUAGCACAGAGAGCUUGCUCUCGGGUGACGAGUGGCGGACGGGUGAGUAAUGUCUGGGAAACUGCCCGAUGGAGGGGGAUAACUACUGGAAACGGUAGCUAAUACCGCAUAACGUCGCAAGACCAAAGUGGGGGACCUUCGGGCCUCACACCAUCGGAUGUGCCCAGAUGGGAUUAGCUAGUAGGUGGGGUAAUGGCUCACCUAGGCGACGAUCCCUAGCUGGUCUGAGAGGAUGACCAGCCACACUGGAACUGAGACACGGUCCAGACUCCUACGGGAGGCAGCAGUGGGGAAUAUUGCACAAUGGGCGCAAGCCUGAUGCAGCCAUGCCGCGUGUAUGAAGAAGGCCUUCGGGUUGUAAAGUACUUUCAGCGGGGAGGAAGGCGGUGAAGUUAAUAGCUUCACCGAUUGACGUUACCCGCAGAAGAAGCACCGGCUAACUCCGUGCCAGCGGCCGCCGUAACAC
rnacentral:rRNA from 1 species